rnacentral:rRNA from 1 species
GAUGAACGCUGGCGGCAUGCCUAAUACAUGCAAGUCGAACGAGAGGAAGGAAAACUUGCUUUUCUGAAUCUAGUGGCGAACGGGUGAGUAACACGUAGGUAACCUGCCCAUGUGCCCGGGAUAACUUCUGGAAACGGAUGCUAAAACCGGAUAGGUAGCAGACAAGCAUUUGACUGCUAUUAAAGUGGCUAAGGCCAUGAACAUGGAUGGACCUGCGGUGCAUUAGCUAGUUGGUGAGGUAACGGCCCACCAAGGCGACGAUGCAUAGCCGGCCUGAGAGGGCGGACGGCCACAUUGGGACUGAGACACGGCCCAAACUCCUACGGGAGGCAGCAGUAGGGAAUUUUCGUCAAUGGGGGGAACCCUGAACGAGCAAUGCCGCGUGAGUGAGGAAGGUCUUCGGAUCGUAAAGCUCUGUUGUAAGAGAAAAACGACAUUCAUAGGGAAUGAUGAGUGAGUGAUGGUAUCUUACCAGAAAGUCACGGCUAACUACGUGCCAGCCGCCGCGGUAAUAC